ACGAAGAACUUCUAGUCCUUAUUAGGGAGGUGACAGACAGAAAAACAAUGUUGCUGGGUAAGCUGGACUCAACACGUGUCACGAGGGAGGGGAAGAACAUGGCGUGGCUGGCUGUGCUGGAGGCUGUCAACGCUGUUGGCGUCACCAGAAGAACUGAGGACGAGGUGAAGAAGAAGUUUCGUGAUUUCCGCUCAUUCGUAAAGAAGAAGGUUGCUGAUGCAAGACAGGAAAUGCUGAGAACAGGAGGAGGACCAACCGCAGACACCAAAUUGAGCGCUGCUGAGGAAGCAAUGGCUGCAUUAAUCAGCGAGGUUGCCAUUGCUGGACAUGCUGAUGUCCCUGACUCUGAAGAAGUUCCAGGAGGCUCAAUGUUUUCUGAAGUUCAAGAGGAUUAUGUAAUCAUGGAGCAUGAUUACUUCCUGCCUCAAAUGUCCCCAGAAAGGCUGCUGGGUAUUACAGCACCCAGCAGCCCCAGACCCUUCCACUUUUGAGCCUACUUCAGGAACGCAAACAGAUGCUACAGCACCAAGCCACCCAGAGCCUUCCAGUUCUAGGCUCACUUUGGAAAGACUGACCGGUGCUGCAGCACCUAGCAGCCCAGGCCCUUCCACUACCAGGCCCAGGGUGGAUCCACAUGGGAGGUUUCCCAAAAGAAAGACAGACCCUUUGGCACCAGAAAUGCUGCAAGUUCAAGGAGAAAUAAAGGUUGGUGUUGAAAAGUGUGCUAAUUCACUUGAAAAAAUAUCAGUUUCAAUGAAUUCCAUGGCUCAAAGUUUUCAGGACUUUGUUGAGUUCUACAGGGCACGGAAUUCAAUGUAAAUAAUUUUCUUAUGGUAAAGGUCUUUGUUUUGGUUGUAAGGAGAACAAUUUAAUUAGGUUGUAUUCCCUUUAACAGUGCCUU